rnacentral:lncRNA from 1 species
AAGCAGCACCCUCCAUGGCCUCUGCAUCAGCUCCUGCCUCCUGGUUCCUGCUGUGCUUGAGUUCCUGUCCUGACAUCCUUUGGUGAUGAACAGCAAUGUGGAAAUAUAUUCUAUGAAUUUUCCCAGGAACCUGUGACCAAAGGUCUAUUUCACAUCAGAUAGCCUACUCACCUGAGGGAAAGACAGUGCCUAAGAUCACAGGUCAAACCAGGCAUGGUUGUUUAUACCUGUACUCCAAACGUUAAGGAAGUAGACGCAGGAGGAUCCGAGUUCAAAACCAGCUCUGAAUGUACAGAGAAUUCGAGGCCAGCUGGGCCUACAGGACCCGUUUCUCAACAACUAACCAACCAUGGAAACAAGAGAAACUUUGAUCCUCAGAGAGAUCUAGAAGCCUGAGGAAGCCUGCAAGCAAGACUACUACAUGCAAGCCUACAACCUCCCUCAAGCUUCCUUACCCUAAACCGGAGAGUCACCCCCUGAGCCUCCUUCCAGCUGGGGAACCCACUCCUUGGUCAGCAGUCUCCAAAAUGAAGAAACGGAAAGAGCCAGAGCCGACUGAAGUGUGUCCGUGAGUAUGCGCAGCCCUCGGUGUGGCUGACUUAACUCCUGCGUUUUCCCGCAGCCCUUUCUCUGUAUUCAUAGCUCAUAGGAAAGUCACGUUUUGCUGUAGAACUAAAGUUUAUGAUGGCG